rnacentral:misc_RNA from 1 species
GUUAGAUACACAAGAGGCUGCAGAGUCCAAAUAUAAGAAAUGGGAGAAGGAUCCAGCUCCCUAUGGAUGGGAUGUCUUUAAUCAGAAAACAUUGUAUAAUGCAUACAAAAAGAGGACGAAGAAUGUAAAUGUUGACCUUGAGGAAUAUAAUAAAAUGAAAGAAUCUGAUCCUGAGUUCUACCGUAAGGCUUCAAGUCUUCAGUAUGGAAAGGCACCCAAGAUUUCAGAGGAUAAGAUUGACAAUAUGGUGAAAGAACUCAAGGACCGGGAUGAGAAGCGAAAGUCCUUUAGCCGUAGGAGGAAGUUCCAUGAAGACAAGGAUAUCGAUUCUAUCAAUGACCGCAAUGAGCAUUUCAACAAAAAGAUUGAGCGGGCCUUUGGUAGAUACACUCUGGAGAUCAAAAACAAUCUUGAGCGAGGAACUGCAUUACCUGAUUAAGGAUUUUCGGGGAAGUUUGGAAUCCUAGUAGUUGGGAGUAUUUAAAGCUUUUCUCCUUCAAUUUCGAAAAGAAGUUCUGUAAAAGAUUUCUAGCAAAGCUACAGAAUUCUUCUAUUAAGUGAGAAGAUGUCUUAGAUAUGCAAUGUACCAUGUAGCAAUAUAUUUGACAAUAGCAGCUCACUUGAUUGAAGUUGUUUCAUUGUGAAUACCUUGUUCCAACAAGUACGGAUCACCCCAAAUCCAAACAAAG